GCCGGGUAGCUCAGCGGUAGAGCAGGAACGUCCGGUCACCACCUCGUCGCCGUGACCACCAUCAAGCUGCCGAAUGCCGGCGGGACUACAUCGGUAUAGGCGGUUCGACUCCGCCCCCGGGCA
rnacentral:tRNA from 1 species